UACGAAGGGGGCUAGCGUUGCUCGGAAUCACUGGGCGUAAAGUGCACGUAGGCGGCUUCUUAAGUCAGGGGUGAAAUCCUGGAGCUCAACUCCAGAACUGCCUUUGAUACUGAGAAGCUUGAGUCCGGGAGAGGUGAGUGGAACUGCGAGUGUAGAGGUGAAAUUCGUAGAUAUUCGCAAGAACACCAGUGGCGAAGGCGGCUCACUGGCCCGGUACUGACGCUGAGGUGCGAAAGCGUGGGGAGCAAACAGG
rnacentral:rRNA from 1 species